UGCGUAGGCGGCUUGUUAAGUUUAAGGUGAAAGCGUGGGGCUCAACCCCAUAAAGCCUUAGAUACUGGCAAGCUAGAGUACUGGAGAGGGUAGUGGAAUUCCAUGUGUAGCGGUAAAAUGCGUAGAUAUAUGGAGGAACACCGGUGGCGAAGGCGGCUACCUAGACAGAGACUGACGCUGAUGCACGAAAGCGUGGGGAGCAAAUA
rnacentral:rRNA from 1 species